rnacentral:rRNA from 1 species
ACUCCUACGGGAGGCAGCAGUGGGGAAUUUUGGACAAUGGGCGAAAGCCUGAUCCAGCCAUGCCGCGUGCAGGAUGAAGGCCUUCGGGUUGUAAACUGCUUUUGUACGGAACGAAACGGCCUUUUCUAAUAAAGAGGGCUAAUGACGGUACCGUAAGAAUAAGCACCGGCUAACUACGUGCCAGCAGCCGCGGUAAUACGUAGGGUGCAAGCGUUAAUCGGAAUUACUGGGCGUAAAGCGUGCGCAGGCGGUUAUGUAAGACAGUUGUGAAAUCCCCGGGCUCAACCUGGGAACUGCAUCUGUGACUGCAUAGCUAGAGUACGGUAGAGGGGGAUGGAAUUCCGCGUGUAGCAGUGAAAUGCGUAGAUAUGCGGAGGAACACCGAUGGCGAAGGCAAUCCCCUGGACCUGUACUGACGCUCAUGCACGAAAGCGUGGGGAGCAAACAGGAUUAGAUACCCCUGUAGUCC